UUAAUUUUUUUUUUCUUCUCUCUUUCACACCACCAAAACACACAGAGCUUCUCCCUCUCCGGCGAAAAUCUCACCGGUUCUCACCCUCUGCAAAUCGUCUUCUCCAUCUCAGCUUGAAGCUUCUCCCUUUCUACAAAAUUUCUUCUCCCUCUCUGGACAAAACCCUAACACAAUCGUCCCCUCUCUUCGACGAAAUUAAAUCAGUCUACUACGUUGAACUCGUUCAUUCGAUUCAAGGGCUGUGAUGCUUCACUGCUCUUGGAGGAUCGAAACAGUUCGUAUGAGAAGCAGGCUAUUCCAAAUCAGACAUUGAAAGGUUUUGAUAAAAUUGACUUGAUUAAGGAGGAAGUAGAACAAGCAUGUCCUGGCAUUGUGUUUUAUGCUGACAUUAUUGCUCUUGCAUCAAGAGAUAUUGUUCUUUUGGAACCACAAAAGUGGGCAGUUAAGAAGGUGCCUAUAUUUGGCAUUUUAUAUUCAAAUAGAAGAUAAGCAAAAGCCAUGAAGUAACUUUUUUAUGUUCAUUGAUGUUUAAAGGACAAUGAACUAUGCAAACCUUCCUUUAUUUUCCUUUACAUGGAAUAUUAUCAAAGGCACUAAGGUGAAUAACCCGGCUAGGAAUUGGAUAAGCAGAGAGGGGUUUUACAGGAAAUAAAGGUAUCUGCACAGUCAGACCUACG